AUUGAACGCUGGCGGCAGGCCUAACACAUGCAAGUCGAGCGAGCGGCGGACGGGUGAGUAAUGUCUGGGAAACUGCCUGAUGGAGGGGGAUAACUACUGGAAACGGUAGCUAAUACCGCAUACCAUCAGAUGUGCCCAGAUGGGAAUAGCUAGUAGGUGGGGUAACGGCUCACCUAGGCGACGAUCCCUAGCUGGUCUGCGAGGAUGACCAGCCGCCCUGGAACGAGGACACGGUCCAGACUCCAACGGGAGGCGGCAGUGGGGAAUAUUGAACAAGGGGCGCAGGCCUGAUUCAGCCAUGCCGCGUGUGUGAAGAAGGCCUUCGGGUUGUAAAGCACUUUCAGCGGGGAGGCGUUACCCGCAGAAGAAGCACCGGCUAACUCCGUGCCAGCCGCCGCGGUAAUUC
rnacentral:rRNA from 1 species